GAUGAAGAACGUAGCGAAAUGCGAUAAGUAAUGUGAAUUGCAGAAUUCAGUGAAUCAUCGAAUCUUUGAACGCACAUUGCGCCCGCCAGUAUUCUGGCGGGCAUGCCUGUUCGAGCGUCAUUUCCACCAUCAGGCCCCCGGGCCCGUGUUGGGGACCUGCGGCUGCCCGCAGGCCCCGAAAUUCAGUGGCGGUCGCGCCGUAGCAACCGAGCGUAGUAACUAAAACGUCUCGCUCUGGCUCGCUGGGCGCGCUCCGGCCGUAAAACACCCCCCCUUUUCGCAAAGGUUGACCUCGGAUCAGGUAGGAAUACCCGCUGAACUUAAGCAUAUCAAUAAGCGGAGGA
rnacentral:misc_RNA from 1 species